GUCACUUACCUGCCUUCCCUUAUGUGUGCAGGCUAGCUUCCACUAUGGCAGGAAGAAUAUAAGGAAGUCUUGAAUGAGCCAGAGAUUGAGUGCCUUGUUUUGACUUACACAUUAGUCUGUCUAUUUGAGGCAGCGAGGUGGCACAGUUGAUAGAGUGUUGGGCUUGAGGGGAGGAAGACCUGAGUUUCAAUCCAAUCUCAGACAUUAACUAACUACAUGAUGCUGGGCAGAUGCUCUGGUUUCCUCACCUGUAUAAUAGGGAUGAUAUCACCUCUCUUGUAGGGUGCUGUGACUCAGUUUCCUCACCUGUAAAAGAAGAAGAAGAAUAGGACCUAUCUUCCAGGGCUGCUAUGAAGAUAGAAUGUGAUAAUAUUUAUGCCAAUGCCAUCAUGCUAUUCCAUGGCUGCCUAGUCUGUUGUUCCCAUCUUCCUAAACAACAUUCAUCUGUCAAUCAGUCAAUCAACAAGCAUUAGUGAGAACCUGCUAUUUUCCAAGCAGUGUAUUUGGCAUAUACAGAAAGGAGAGUCUUCACCCUCAAGGAGCUUAUCUCUAAUAGUCUAUUGGGAAUCUUCAUGUUCUCUAUAUUAGAGCUUUUAGUUGGAAAACUACAUGCCACCUCACACUUAUCAGAUUGUCUACUGUGACAAAAAGGGAAAAUGACAAAUGUUGGAGGGCAUAUAAGGAAAUUAGGACACUAAUGCAUUGUUGGAGGAGCUAUGAACUGAUUCAACCCUUCUGGAAAGCAACUGGGAACCAUGCCCAAAAGGCCAUAAAACCAUGCAUAUUCUUUGACCCAGCAAGACUACUAUAGGUCUGUGUCCCAAAGAGAUCAAAGAUAGGGGGAAAGGACCUAUUUGCAUAGAAAUAUUAUAGCAGCUCUUUUUGUGAUGGCAAAGAACUUGAAAUGACUGAAUAAAUGAAGUAUGGGAUUAAAAUGCA
rnacentral:lncRNA from 1 species